AGGGAAUCUUCCGCAAUGGACGAAAGUCUGACGGAGCAACGCCGCGUGAGUGAAGAAGGCCUUCGGGUCGUAAAGCUCUGUUGCCGGGGAAGAACAAGUGCCGUUCGAACAGGGCGGUGCCUUGACGGUACCCGGCCAGAAAGCCACGGCUAACUACGUGCCAGCAGCCGCGGUAAUACGUAGGUGGCAAGCGUUGUCCGGAAUUAUUGGGCGUAAAGCGCGCGCAGGCGGUCUUUUAAGUCUGGUGGUUAAGCCCGGGGCUCAACCCCGGUUCGCACUGGAAACUGGGAGACUUGAGUGCAGGAGAGGAAAGUGGAAUUCCACGUGUAGCGGUGAAAUGCGUAGAGAUGUGGAGGAACACCAGUGGCGAAGGCGACUUUCUGGACUGUAACUGACGCUGAGGCGCGAAAGCGUGGGGAGCAAAC
rnacentral:rRNA from 1 species